rnacentral:misc_RNA from 1 species
CGAGAGUGUCACCACUCCCAACCACUGUUUACCUACCCGUCCACCGUGCCUCGGCAGGCAGCCCUGUGGGACAGAGCCUCGCCCCCCGCUGGGGGGGUGCCUGCCGCUGGCCGACCAACAACUCUAGCUGUUUAGUACCAUCUGAGUCUUCCACAAAUGAACA